UGGGGAAUAUGCACAAUGGGCGAAAGCCUGAUGCAGCAACGCCGCGUGAGUGAUGAAGGCCUUCGGGUUGUAAAUGCUCUGUCUUUUGGGACGAUAAUGACGGUACCAAAGGAGGAAGCCACGGCUAACUACGUGCCAGCAGCCGCGGUAAUACGUAGGUGGCAAGCGUUUGUCCGGAUUUUACUGGGCGUAAAGGAUGCGUAGGCGGAUUUUUAAGUGAGAUGUGAAAUACCCGGCUUAACUUGGGUGCUGCAUUUCAAAACUGGGAAUCUAGAGUGCGGGAGAGGAGAAUGGAAUUCCGUAGUGUAGACGGUGAAAGUGCGUAGAGAUUAGGAAGAACACCAGUGGCGAAGGCGAUUCUCUGGACCGUAAACUGAC
rnacentral:rRNA from 1 species